AAAACAUUUGUAAUAGAUUUGUCACUAACUUCAGUAGCCACCGUCAUGUUUUCAUCGCUCAGCUUAUUCUAUAAAUAACUCACCAUUAUCAAUAUUUCAAAUUCAAUCUUCAUAUAAUUAUAAUGGUCAUACAACCUCAUCGCGAAUCCGCACAGUUGCCUACUGGGCAACCUGCAGAAAAAGUUCUAACGGUUUUUGUUAGCAACUUAAACUGUCCAGCAACAUCUACUGGUACACCUGAAUAACAAUCGCUCAAGAGAAGAAAGAUUUCAUGCUGUUAACCAUCCCCCAAUAAUCAAGAAGCGUUUGAUUGUCUUAUCUGCAAAUUGAUCCGGACUUGGGAGUCUAAUUUUCGCUCCUGAGCAAUGGUUACUUCUUGGUGCAAUUUACACAUGCCACAACAGCGAGUCAACCGACGUUUUUAUCAGGAUUAAUCCAUCAAACGCAGUAUAUUGCACAUUUUCUCCAUGAUCGGUUCUCUUUUAUUGGUAUAAAUCAAUUUAACCUUUUAACACACUUUUGCUUAUCAGGGGAAACCGCAUUUUUUUAUUAUUAUUUUAAAGUUUUUCUUCUUUCUGUCUGACAGAUCGAAUUGUAACGAGGCAAUUUUCUCGACUGCGUCGUUCAUAGCCGACGAUCAAGUUGAGCCGUGAGUCGCAGCUGCUGUCGGAUAACACAAGUCGCCGUUGGCCUGUCAGAACGGCAUUUCUUUGAUAACUUCAUCAAAGGCAAGGCCGACCUUCGUUUCAGCGAGCCCUCUUUCAUGAUUUACUUAAUCAGGCUUACGUUUAAAUUUAUACAAGAGUCAAACAGUACUCAAUGGUGUCUGUCAAAAAAAUAUCACUUAGUGAUCUACCCUAAAUCACAACAAACGGGACUGAAGAAUGUGAUACUUCAACUAAUGAACGCAGUCAAAUUUUAUCAAGAGCACAGCUCUAAUAUUUCAUUAUACUCAAAGAGGCCAUCUUCAGGCGGUUCGACAGUAUACAACGAGCGAUAAACGUGAUUUUUCUCUACCAACAAUUUUACCAACAACUCAUGGGGUGACAUCCGAUGCUUCAUCAGCACAAACUGAUAGUUUUCAUAGUCGUAGGUGAUUGUGGUGCAGUGCAGCUCCAGGUCAGAUGCUAUUCUGGAAUGACGAUGGAGGUAGGAUAAACGAUGAGACGAUAGAUCAACAACGAAACUGCUACAAACUCGAACUAACGUCAGCAGACGUUUAUUUUGUAACUCCAUAUUGAAAACCUCGCAAUUGAAAAAAGUGCAUUUCUAGUAAAUGAUACCCUAGAAUUAACUGUUUCUACACUACAAAUUUUAGCAAUUGUAUAAAAGAACUGCUGCAUUUUUAACAAGAGAACAAUAUUGACCAGUAGUGACAGCUAUAAAAUUAAAACUCAUAAGCCAAAAUUUGUUUUACUUACUU